UGGGGAAAAAUUAAAAAAUUAUAAAUAAUAAAAUAAAUUUUAAAAUUAAAAAGAAAUAAUGGGGGGUUAAAGUAUUUUUAAUAGAAAAAAUUUAAAAUUUUAUAAUGAAGUAGUAUUGUAAAAGAAAUUUGAAAUAAAUGAAAAAAAAAUAAAAAAAAAGAAAAUUUAGUUUGUUGUAUCUUGUGUAUCAGAGUUUAUUAAAUAUAUUUUUUAAAAAAAAAAAUCUCGAAUUUAAAAGAGUUAAUUAAUUAAAAAAGUUAAUGUAGCAUAAUUAUUUUAAAUAAUUAAUUAGAAAUGAAAUGUUAAUCGUUUUUAAAUAUAUCUAGUUAUUUUAGAAAAAAAUUUAAUUUUUAAUUUAAAUAAUUUUAUAAUUUAUUAAUAAAAAUUAUGAAAAUUUAAAAUUAAAUAUAUUAAGGGAUAAGCUUUAAAUUAAAAAUUUAUAAUAAUUAAAAAUUUUAAUUAAAAUUUUUAAAAUUUAUAUUGUUUAAAAAUUAUAAUUUAUUAUAAAAAAUUUUAAUAAUAAAUAAAAUUUAAUAAUUAAAAAUUUAAAUUUAUAUAAAAUAAUAAUUUAUAUUAAUAUAAAAUUAGAAAUUAUGAUAAAAUUAGUAUAAAUAAUUAAAAAAAAAAUAAAUUAAAAAUUAAAUUAAAUAAAAGGAAUUCGGCAAAAAUUUAUAUUCACUUGUUUAUCAAAAACAUGUCUUUUUGAAAUAAUUUAAAGUCUAAUCUGCCCACUGAUAAAUUAUUAAAGGGCUGCAGUAUUAUGACUGUACAAAGGUAGCAUAAUCAUUAGUUUUUUAAUUGAAAACUUGUAUGAAAGAUUUGAUGAAAUAUAAUCUGUCUCUUAUUUAUUAUUAGAAAUUUAUUUUUUAGUAAAAAAACUAAAAUUUGUUUAAAAGACGAGAAGACCCUAUAGAGUUUUAUAUUUAUAAUUUAUUUUAUUUUAUAUAAAAAUUAAUAUUAAAUUAAAUAUAAAUAUUAUAUUGGGGUGAUAGAAAAAUUUAAUUAACUUUUUUUAAAAAAUUAACAUAAAUAAAUGAUUAAAUGAUCCAUUAAUAAUAAUGAUUAUAAGAAAAAAUUACCUUAGGGAUAACAGCGUAAUAUUUUUUUUUAGUUCAAAUAAAAAAAAAAGUUUGCGACCUCGAUGUUGGAUUAAGAUAAAAUUUAAAUGCAAAAGUUUAAAGUUUUGAUCUGUUCGAUCAUUAAAAUCUUACAUGAUCUGAGUUCAGACCGGCGUAAGCCAGGUUGGUUUCUAUCUUUAGAAAAAUUAAAUAUUUUAGUACGAAAGGAUCAAAUAUUUAAAAUAAUUUUAAUAUGAGAAUUUUAAUAAUUUAUUGAUA
rnacentral:rRNA from 1 species